ACGGGGGGACUCCUACGGGAGGCAGCAGUGAGGAAUAUUGGACAAUGGACGAAAGUCUGAUCCAGCUAUGCCGCGUGCAGGAAGACUGCCCUAUGGGUUGUAAACUGCUUUUAUAUAGGAAGAACUACAGCUACGUGUAGCUGUUUGACGGUACUAUACGAAUAAGCGCCGGCUAACUCCGUGCCAGCAGCCGCGGUAAU
rnacentral:rRNA from 1 species